UACGUAGGGUGCAAGCGUUGUCCGGAAUUAUUGGGCGUAAAGAGCUCGUAGGCGGUUUGUCGCGUCUGCUGUGAAAACCCGAGGCUCAACCUCGGGCCUGCAGUGGGUACGGGCAGACUAGAGUGCGGUAGGGGGAGAUUGGAAUUCCUGGUGUAGCGGUGAAAUGCGCAGAUAUCGGAGGAAGACACCAGUGGCGAAGGCGGUCCUCUGG
rnacentral:rRNA from 1 species